AAGCAUAGAAAUAAAAAAAAAUUGAAGAAAAAAGAAAAAAUUUCCCACAAAAACUACUAUGGGUAGGAAAUGUAAUUAGUUUAAUGAGUAGAAAGACAAAUGGGUAGGCAAGGGUAAAUAGUUUUGUUUUAGUGGGUAGCUGUGUCAUUCUCCCAUAAACUAUGUAUCAAACACUGAUCCAUAUUGAAAAAUAAAUAGAAAAACGAUAACCAAUAGUCUAUGUAAAACAUCCGUAUAAUUGGGUAUUUUAUAACAAUAAGCCCAUGAGAAGACCCAUGAAUCAAACAUUAUAUAUAUAUAUUAAAAAAAAACUACAUCAUCAUAGAAUGUGCUAUUAGUUUUUUUCUCCAUUCUGACAUAGACCAGUAGUAAGCAAAGCUAUCCUUCAACCAAAAUGUCCAGCGUGAUACAAAAGAGCAAAAUCACACUAUGGUUCUUCGGCCAUCACCAUACAUAGAAUACAUGUACCAUUUCAAAUUUGUAGAAAUAACUGAAAGAUAAUCUACAUUUAGAAAAUAGGCUCAUCAUUAUUUAGUAGUACUCACAUAGUUUUUACUAAUCUAUAAGGUAAAUGGCAUAAUUUCAACUACUAUUUAAGAUAGAAAACCAAUACCUCAUGAUAUUGACACAUACAAGUUUCUGAGACCAAAAGCCUUUGGAAGUUUUUGUGAAUACAAACCAGGGCUUCUCAUAAUCCUCUCCAUCUAUUUAUUAAUUAUUUCCGCAACUCCUUUUUCUUACUUCAUCUUUUCUUCAUCAACUCUGUAGUAAUCUUGAGCCAAUAGAAAAAUGUCCAACUAUGAUCCUUGUUCCUAGUACAUAAACUCAACUCGGGGAUAUAAAUUAAGGGAUAUCUCUGAUGCAGUAUUGUCAGCCCCUACUGCAUUUGAGAAGCUAUACAUCGAUCAACAUAUAGCCAAGAAAAGUGAAUGUAUAGUUCUCCGAUGAAUGGAUGAAGCUACUCUUCAAGUUAGACUUGUGGCUAGGUAACUUUUAGUUUAUUACUUAAAUUGUAUAUAAUUAUAGUCAUCAGUUUCAGAAAAAUAGCAUUAGAAUCUUGCUAACUUCACAAUUGAUUGGAGGCAUUUAGACUCACUUCGGCGACUCUGCCCUUUAGAUAAAAGAUUUCUAUCAGAUCUUAAUUAGAAUAUGCAACCAGGUCUGGGACAAACUGCUCCAGAUUUGGGGUCUAAAUUAAUUCACUAUGUGCAGUACCAAUCAUUGCACCACCCUUGCCCAUCAAAAGGUAUGAUGAUCUAUUCGUGCAUAUGAUUUUUGAUAAUUCGUGCCAUCACUGUUUCUUACACAUCAAUUCUCAGAACAUAUGUACCAUUUCAAAUUUGGAAAUAACUGGAAUAUAAAUUUAUAUUUGAGAAAUCAUGAAAACUAGCAUUUGAUCCAUACUAUUUGCAUUCUCCCGGCUUGAAGAACAUAUUAAUGACAAAAACAUAAAUAAAAUUAUCGCUUAUGAUAGACCAAUUUAAAUGAAAAAGAAGCGGUAAUAGAGUAUAUUGGUAAUGUUCAAUGAAUAAGAAACCAAAAGAAGUUCAAGGUUGUAGCACUCCAUUCCAAAGGAAAGAUGGAAAAGACAAAGAACUGCAUACUAUGAAAGAGCAAUCGAAAACUCCAAAUAAAAUGACUCUGACAUAUCAUCAAAAUAAAAUGACUCAGGCAUAUCAUCAAACACUUUGGUGCAUGCAUAGACGAUAAAUGAGAUUACCUCUUCAUCCUGCAAGAUAAGAUUCUAGAAUUUUAUUUUUUUCUCACCGCUUUCCCAUUCUCGACUUCUAUCAACAACUUGUAUCUUGCAAGUCCAACCAGGUGUAGCUACAAAGUAAAUUACCGUCAGUUAUACAGAAAAACUGGUGAUGAAAAUUUUCGAUUGCUACUUGUUUUAUAUGAAAGAUGAGGUAUCUGAAAGUAUAACUAAAAUAAAUUAAAUACUGAACAUGCACUAGUAUCUAUCUCCAAACAUGUAUUUGAAAAUUAGUUACAAUUAUGUGCAUUCAUAUACAAAAUUCACAAAGAAAUUAUAUAAAAGAAGAGGAAACAACACAUACAAACCAAAUUACCUAGCAAACAAUUGAAAAAAUGGCAACAACCCUAGGCAGAACUCAUAGAUUCAAGAUAGGCCAGAUACAAAUAGUAACCAAUAUGGAAAAAUUCAGACGAAAACUAAGAAAUGAGGCAUGGAAGAAUCAGGGGUGCGCUAAACAAAGAAAAGAAUGCAAAAAACUCUCACUAAUUGAGAAAUUGAAAAAUCAAAAGUGAUAAUUUGGAACCAAAUUCAGAAAUCUGAAAGAAAAGUGAAACGAAUUCAAGGUGUUAGAGAGGAGCAAAAGAAAGGAACAAAAAGGAGGCCUCCGAUGAACAAUGAAAAGUAAGAAGAUGAUCGAUCAGGAUAAUAGGAGUUUCUGGAUUGUACUAUUGAAGUGUAGUAGCAGAGAAUUUUGAACAAAAUGUGGAAUACACGUGUUCACAAAAGAAUAGGUUGAUGACUUCAAUCACCAAUUUACCCCCAAACAGAAAAUCAAUUAGUGUAGGUCAAGGAUAUAAUAGACAAACAGUCAUGUACUGAUUUAAUGAAAUGGGCCCACUGUACACGGUACUUCACAUUGAAUUUAGUACGAACAUGUUCGCCCCACUCAACUCCCACUUCUAAAUAAUAGACUAGUUGAGUCCUGCAGCUCGGGCGCAACAACUCGAAUUGUAA
rnacentral:lncRNA from 1 species